rnacentral:misc_RNA from 1 species
GCGCAUGCGCACACACACACACACACGCGCGCGCGCCUCAGCCCCCUCAGCACCCCUCACUCCUAUCCCUUCCCUCCGCUGUCGUUCGUGCUGCUCGAUGCCGGCACCGUCGUCUUCGUUAGCGCGUGCAGGCUCGCGCAUGCACCGGCAGGUCUCUCGCAUUGACCGCCAGACGGCCCAAAAGCUCUUCCCGCGGGAGCAGCGGCUGCAGUGGCCCACCGGCUAUCUCCCGGCAAGUGGCGUCGCCCACCUCCUCCACCCCGACGGCGUCCCAUUUCACGAGGUAUUGGAGUGCUACAUGGACAUAAAAAGAGACCGGCAGCAUGAGCUGCAGCGCGACUUCGCGUCCGAUUACACGCUCUGGAACCGUUGCUCGCUCGAGGACUUUGUGCGCAAACUCGACGCUCACCGGCGGCGUUGCUUCACGCGGCUAACGGCCCGCGAUCGUCUCGUGCACGACGCCGACGUGCGGCAGGUGUUCCAGCUAGCGCCAUAUCUGCCACCACCGCCUGUCGCCAUCACCGACAGCCCUUCAUCGCGUGCGCGAGUGUCACCCCCGUUACAGGCGUCCGCCGCUGCCGCAGCAAGCACGACUUCAGCGAGCAAGGAGGAGAGGCCGGCGUACUACCAGUUCCAGCCCUACGCGGCGACGCAGGAGUACGCCAUGCUGCCCGUGCAAGGCGUUCGGUCACCGCAGCAGCGCGUGCGCUUUUCGACUUUCCCCCAAAUUCGAAAUCUGCUCCACACGGACUUCGACUCCAUGACAGCGCUGCGUGCGCUGAGCUUGUACUGCGAAGAUGGGAUACUGUACACGAGAGAGCUGGUGCAAGUCGUGGCCCUGUACAUUCGGCGGCGGCUAGAAGAGAUUCAGGAAGCAGAGGCGUCCUUCCUGUACGCUGCGGCGGAGGCCUCGCCGUCGUGCACCCCGCUCCCGACGUUUUCGUCGGCGUCACCGGUGCUCGUCUUCUUCGGCAACGGCCGUCUGGCUUGGAUGCUGAAUGAGAGUGGCCUGCUGCCCAAGACGGUGCGCGCGGUGCAGCUGCCACGGCAGGAUGCGCAGCGCAGACGCCGGCACACGCAUCUGCUGCAGCAGCAGGAAACGCUCGAGAGCGACUUCGGGUUUCACAAGAGCUUCACGGCCAUCUUUCCCUGCGAGACGCUCUCCGUCGGUGACGCACUUCGCAAGUACAAGCCGGCGAUGGCGUUGGUGGAGCCGCACGUGGACCGGGAUUACAUGUCGGACAUCCGCGGCUACUACAGCGUACGAGAGGUGGUGGCGAUGGGGCCCAUCGACUCCCCGGCCAUGGGCAGCUUCGCCUACCCGUUCCUGAGCUUCGGCGUUACGCCUGGGCCGACCACGUACUGGGCGUACAACGACCACCUGCACAAGGUGCACGCCUCGGAACGAAUCCAGAUGCCAAUGGACGCGCCGCACGAAUCACAAGGGUACGAACGGCACUACGUCGAUGACAUCUCGGCGUACCUAAUCGCGCCCAACGACUGCGCCGCCAUUGGCAGACAGUUCCGCUGCCUCGCCUUUCGCCGUGUGCGGCCGCCGGUGCUGAAGCCCGCGAGCGCAGCAGCGGCCACGGCGCUGCAGUCGUCGAAAGAGACGGUGGAGUCGAAUCCAGAGCGGGCAUGGCCAUGUAACCGUGGUGCAACGGGUAUUAGCCAGACACGCUAAGGACGCCCUCGCCCGUGUGCGUCUGCGCGGACGAUGAGCCUCUCCGCCACCUCCACCGGGCGCCGCCGCCCUUCUGAGUUUUCCAUCUCUGUGUUCACAGAAGACGUCAUACACGCACUGGGGCAGCAACAGCACCAAAUCCGCACAAGCGAACGACACGUCCUCCUGUGAGGUCACCUGCACACGCACACACAUACUUCACGUGUUAUGCGAAGCCCUCGCUCAGUGUACGUGUAAGCCCCCUUUCUAUUCGGGAGUAGUCUCCCUGUGUAUGUGGCGGAUGUCUCACGUGCUCAUCGCGCCGCACGGAGCUCUAUAGACGUCUCUCUCGCUCUCCCUCUCCCACCAUUCUCUACUCCGCCGACGCCCCGCACGUCCAUGCACAUGCCUACCUCGCUAG